ensembl:lncRNA
AGCUGCUUUGUGCUUUAUCGAUGAGAAGCAUACCCAUAACAUGAUGCUGCAAUCAGACUACUUGAACAUACUGAGACUGUCAAGUAGCCCUCACCAAGCAUUAACUCUGAAAUCAAGACUCAUCAGACCAGGCAACAUUCUUCCAGUCUUCAACUGUCCAAUUUUGGGCCCUCAGCCCAGGAAGCCAAAGGCUUGGAGCUCACUUCUGAGCAGAUGAGAAUAGACGCAAAGCCCAGCAAAGCCUGAACAGCCAUCAAAAUGUCUGAAGUGGUUUAGAGAAGAGCUAAUAAUUUAGCUGCGGUCAGCUAUAGCUUUAUCAAUCUCUCCUUUCUCUCUCUCUCUCU